rnacentral:rRNA from 1 species
GCAUGGCUGUCGUCAGCGUCGUGUCGUGAGAUGUUGGGUUAAGUCCGUAACGAGCGCAACCCUUGUCCUUAGUUACCAGCACGUUAUGGUGGGCACUCUAAGGAGACUGCCGGUGACAAACCGGAGGAAGGUGGGGAUGACGUCAAGUCAUCAUGGCCCUUACGGCCUGGGCUACACACGUGCUACAAUGGUCGGUACAAAGGGUUGCCAAGCCGCGAGGUGGAGCUAAUCCCAUAAAACCGAUCGUAGUCCGGAUCGCAGUCUGCAACUCGACUGCGUGAAGUCGGAAUCGCUAGUAAUCGUGAAUCAGAAUGUCACGGUGAAUACGUUCCCGGGCCUU